UCGUGCCAGCAGCCGCGGUAAUACGAAGGGUGCAAGCGUUAAUCGGAAUUACUGGGCGUAAAGGGUGCGUAGGCGGUUCGUUAAGUCUGUCGUGAAAUCCCCGGGCUCAACCUGGGAAUGGCGAUGGAUACUGGCAAGCUAGAGUGUGUCAGAGGAUGGUGGAAUUUCCGGUGUAGCGGUGAAAUGCGUAGAGAUCGGAAGGAACAUCAGUGGCGAAGGCGGCCAUCUGGGACAACACUGACGCUGAAGCACGAAAGCGUGGGGAGCAAACAGGAUUAGAUACCCUGGUAGUCCACGCCCUAAACGAUGCGAACUGGAUGUUGGUCUCAACUCGGAGAUCAGUGUCGAAGCUAACGCGUUAAGUUCGCCGCCUGGGGAGUACGGUCGCAAGACUGAAACUCAAAGGAAUUGACGGGGGCCCGCACAAGCGGUGGAGUAUGUGGUUUAAUUCGAUGCAACGCGAAGAACCUUACCUGGCCUUGACAUGUCUGGAAUCCUGCAGAGAUGCGGGAGUGCCUUCGGGAAUCAGAACACAGGUGCUGCAUGGCUGUCGUCAGCUCGUGUCGUGAGAUGUUGGGUUAAGUCCCGCAACGAGCGCAACCCUUGUCCUUAGUUGCCAGCACGUAAUGGUGGGAACUCUAAGGAGACUGCCGGUGACAAACCGGAGGAAGGUGGGGAUGACGUCAAGUCCUCAUGGCCCUUACGGCCAGGGCUACACACGUACUACAAUGGUCGGUACAGAGGGUUGCAAUACCGCGAGGUGGAGCCAAUCCCAGAAAGCCGAUCCCAGUCCGGAUCGGAGUCUGCAACUCGACUCCGUGAAGUCGGAAUCGCUAGUAAUCGCGGAUCAGCUAUGCCGCGGUGAAUACGUUCCCGGGCCUUGUACACACCGCCCGUCACACCAUGGGAGUGAGUUGCUCCA
rnacentral:rRNA from 1 species